CCCAGGUCCCUGGUGGUGUGGGUGCCUGAGAGAAUCUCCUGGUCUACAGGUUGAGAAGACUGUGGGAAAAGCAUAGUAUUUGGGCCAGAUAGCACCAGCCCUCACGGCACAGUCCCUCAUUGCUUCCCCUGGCUAGGGGAACAUAAUACUCUAUUUUAAAUCUGCAUUUUAUUUAAUCAUCCUAUCAUCUCCAGGUGCACAUCAUCAUUUUUACGUCAUAGUAAUUUGCCGCAGGACACAGAGUAAGUGGCUGUGAUCAAUUUCCCAGAUACUGCCUGCUCCUUUAGUCUGGGUCUGGAGAUAAUGACCACAUGGAAGACAGAUGCAGCUGAUCUACAACUGAUAUGUAGCCUGAGUGAGAAAUAAACAUUUGCUAUUCCAAGUCA